GCGCAGCAGGCGAGAAACCUCCGCAAUACACGAAAGUGUGACGGGGCCGAUCCCGAGUGCCGUCCGCUGAGGACGGCUUUUCCCCAGUGUACACAGCUGGGGGAAUAAGGAGAGGGCAAGCCUGGUGUCAGCCGCCGCGGUAAUACCAGCUCUCCGAGUGGUGGGGACGCGUUAUUGGGCCUAAAGCAUCCGUAGCCGGCUGGGCAAGUCCUCCGUUAAAUCCAACGAUUCAAUCGUUGGGCUGCGGGGGAUACUGUCCAGCUUGGGGGCGGGAGAGGCCGAC
rnacentral:rRNA from 1 species